rnacentral:lncRNA from 1 species
UCUUUCUCUCCCAAAAAGACAUACUUGAGGUGGUCCGGUAACGCUUUAAGCUCCAAGGUUGGUGGCUGCAAAAUUGAAGGCAACAUUUUAAUUUGGGAAGGUAAUAGUUCAAAUUGGUUACCUCGAUUCGUCAACGAUGGUUGCGUCUCCAAGUGUUUGACAAUUUCUCGCAACGGAUCUUCUAUAACUGCUAACUCCUCGAGACGACUCAAUAUAUCCAUGUUAAUGCUUCUGUAAAGGACAGUUUCCAAC